CCUGCUCUCCCUCCCACUUCUACUCUGAGUCUCAUAUCUGACCUGAAUUUCUUGCAUCUGUCCCAGCCCUCAUUAAGGAUGAUGAUAAAUUCAAGAGCAGUAGGACAUCAUGGUUCCUUGUGGCUCAUUCCAAAAGUCACGAAAGUUGCUGUUGCAGCCACAGUCACAACUUUCCCAACGUUCCAAAAGUUGAGAAGGAACCUAUCAUCUGCGUCCAGAUCUCUCUAGACAUCCCGAUCUUCCCGAAGCCCAGACUUAGGUAACACCAUAAUUAUCCGUCCUGAAUUGACUUUGGGAAAAAAGAAGCUCCCUCACCCAGCAAUAUUUAGUGUAGAAAAUAAGAAGUCUGGUAUUUCUAAAGACACAAAAGAGUUCUGACCUGGAAAACAGCAUGAGGGCUGUGAUUUCACUUGGUAAGGAGGCAC